rnacentral:lncRNA from 1 species
AUUUUAACCAUCAGUUUACACAUACUUCUCUCCUGUGAGACUGUGAAUUCUUCAAAAGCAGGUACUGUGUUUAAUGAAGUGUGCCCAGGACUUUGCUCAGUGACUGGAUGACACAGUAGGAGUAACAAGAAAGUUCACAUGGGUGAACCGUGGUAGGUGGACAUCGUCUCUCUCACCUCUUCCCAAAUCAAGGAUGAAGUACAUCUUCAUAAAUCCUCAUGUGAAUUAUUUUGCUACCUCUAGAAGCAUUUUCUAAAACAAGGUGCAGCAAUCAGUUGAGUGAAUUUGUCACCAGAGCUUAUGUUUUCUGAAAGAACCCUAUCCUCAGGCAGUUGUUCCUAAGAGGUGAGUUGUGGAUUUAGUUCACAUACCUUCCUUCGUGGCUUAAAAUGCUCCACAUGCCUGUCUCCCCAACAGCAUCAGAUCACCAUGCAGUAAAAUACCAAGUCAGAACAGCCAAUGCUGAAAAGAGUGACAGUUUCCUUUCAUGAUGCAAUGCACUUGGAGCCAGGGGACAGGGAGACAAUAACUGCAAGGAGAAGUGAUGACAACCCUACUUUAAUAUAGUAGUUCCUUUUGAAUUUUAUAGACUUACCCGUUAAUCUCUAGAAUUUUGAAAAAAUUCCUUAAGUGAUGUGAGCAAAUAACACUUUGCCUUGGGUUAGCCUUUUCCUUUCCCUUGAAGAUUCCACAAAUAUGUCAGCGCUGGAAAUGAUCCUUUGGCUUUGAACUAUGUGAAGACUGCAGAAGGACUGGUUGGUAAGCACCCACAUCCUGGGGUGAGAAUCACAUCCAGUUUAUACCUCCCUGUGCACACUUGUAUAAAACAACUAUAAGACACACGAGAGAUCUGGAAGCCAGUUCCUCAUAAGUAAGAAUUGGUCAGGCUGCAUUUGUAUCCUGGGUCCACAAGACAUCGUUUCCUUAAAACCAAUCCCCCUGAUUUUGCUAAGUGUCUGCAAGCCUAAUAUUUCAUGGAUGUUUGACAAGGACCCCGUCUUUAGCUGAACUAAGGAGAAAGUCCUGCAACACACACAUGGAGCUCAGCAAACGGAGGAUGUAGUAGACGCACAUGAAAUUUGGUGCUGUGACUCGGAUUGGGGGAC